CAAUAGCGUAUAUUAAAGUUGUUGCAGUUAAAAAGCUCGUAGUUGGAUUUGUGGCGUAUGGUGUGUUCCGGGCACUUGUUGUCUGAGUAACUUGCCAUUGCCAUCCUUGGGUGGAACCUGUGUGGCAUUAGGUUGUCGUGCAGAGGAUGCCCAUCGUUUACUGUGAAAAAAUUAGAGUGUUCAAAGCAGGCUUAUGCCGUUGAAUAUAUUAGCAUGGAAUAAUAAGAUAGGACUUUUUUGCUAUUUUGUUGGUUUGCGCGAGAAGGUAAUGAUUAAUAGGGAUAGUUGGGGGUAUUCGUAUUCCAUUGUCAGAGGUGAAAUUCUUGGAUUUUUGGAAGACGAACUACUGCGAAAGCAUUUACCAAGGAUGUUUNCAUUAA
rnacentral:rRNA from 1 species